UACGUAGGGUGCGAGCGUUGUCCGGAAUUAUUGGGCGUAAAGAGCUCGUAGGCGGUUCGUCGCGUCGGCUGUGAAAUCCCGAGGCUCAACCUCGGGUCUGCAGUCGAUACGGGGCGGACUGGAGUUCGGCAGGGGAGACUGGAAUUCCUGGUGUAGCGGUGAAAUGCGCAGACUAGUCAGGAGGAACACCGGUGGCGAAGGCGGGUCUCUGGGC
rnacentral:rRNA from 1 species